rnacentral:rRNA from 1 species
CCUACGGGUGGCUGCAGUGGGGAAUAUUGCGCAAUGGGCGAAAGCCGGACGCAGCGACGCCGCGUGAGGGAUGAAGGUCUUCGGAUCGUAAACCUCUGUCAGCAGGGAAGAACGGUCACUGUGCUAAUCAGCAGUGAAUUGACGGUACCUGCAAAGGAAGCACCGGCUAACUCCGUGCCAGCAGCCGAGGCAAUACGGGGGGUGCGAGCGUUAAUUGUCAUUACUGGGCGUAACGCGCUCGUAGGCGGUAUGUCAAGUCAAGGGUGAAAUCCCCGCGCUCAACGUGGUAACUGCCUUUGAAACUGGAAAACUGGAGGGUGUGAGAGGAUAGUGGAAGUCCAGGUGUAGGAGUG